GUGUCAGCAGCCGCGGUAAAACGUAGGAGGCGAGCGUUAUCCGGAUUUACUGGGCGUAAAGCGCGCGCAGGCGGCACUGCAAGUUGGAUGUGAAAGCUCCUGGCUCAACUGGGAGAGGCCAUUCGAAACUGCAGAGCUUGAGGUUGGGAGAGGGGUAUAGAAUUCCCGGUGUAGUGGUGGAAUGCGUAGAUAUCGGGAGGAACACCAGUGGCGAAGGCGGUACCCUGGCCCACACCUGACGCUGAGGUGCGAAAGCGUGGGGAGUAAACAGGAUUAGAUACCCUGGUAAUCCACGCCGUAAACGAUGUCAACUGGGUGUUGGUAGUGAUACACUAUCAGUGCCGAAGCAAACGCGUUAAGUUGACCGCCUGGGGACUACGGCCGCAAGGCUAAA
rnacentral:rRNA from 1 species